rnacentral:rRNA from 1 species
UACGAAGGGGGCUAGCGUUGUUCGGAAUCACUGGGCGUAAAGCGCACGUAGGCGGAUCUUUAAGUCAGAGGUGAAAUCCCAAGGCUCAACCUUGGAACUGCCUUUGAUACUGGGGAUCUUGAGUCCGGGAGAGGUGAGUGGAACUGCGAGUGUAGAGGUGAAAUUCGUAGAUAUUCGCAAGAACACCAGUGGCGAAGGCGGCUCACUGGCCCAUUACUGACGCUGAGGCACGAAAGCGUGGGGAGCAAACAGG